rnacentral:rRNA from 1 species
UUAGAGUUUGAUCCUGGCUCAGGAUGAACGCUAGCGGCAGGCUUAACACAUGCAAGUCGAGGGGCAGCAGGGCGUAGCAAUACGCUGCUGGCGACCGGCGCACGGGUGCGUAACGCGUAUGCAACCUACCUUUAACAGGGGGAUAACCCGGGGAAACUCGGACUAAUAUCCCGUAUAGUCGAUGUACCGCAUGAUAUGUCGACGAAAGAUUUAUCGGUUUUAGAUGGGCAUGCGUAGCAUUAGGUAGUUGGCGGGCAACGGCCCACCAAGCCCACGAUGCUUAGGGGAGCUGAGAGGCUUAUCCCCCACACUGGUACUGAGACACGGACCAGACUCCUACGGGAGGCAGCAGUGAGGAAUAUUGGUCAAUGGACGCAAGUCUGAACCAGCCAUGCCGCGUGAAGGAAGAAUGCCCUAUGGGUUGUAAACUUCUUUUGCCUUGGAGCAAUAAGGCCCACGCGUGGGUCGAUGAGAGUACAGGGCGAAUAAGCAUCGGCUAACUCCGUGCCAGCAGCCGCGGUAAUACGGAGGAUGCAAGCGUUAUCCGGAUUUAUUGGGUUUAAAGGGUGCGUAGGCGGACCUUUAAGUCAGCGGUGAAAUAUGCCGGCUUAACCGGCAGGCUGCCGUUGAUACUGGGGGUCUGGAGUCCAAACGGCGCUGGCGGAAUAUGUCAUGUAGCGGUGAAAUGCAUAGAUAUGACAUAGAACACCGAUCGCGAAGGCAGCUGGCGAGGAUGUGACUGACGCUGAGGCACGAAAGCGUGGGGAUCAAACAGGAUUAGAUACCCUGGUAGUCCACGCAGUAAACGAUGAUAACUUGUUGUCGGCGAUACACAGUCGGCGACAAAGCGAAAGCGAUAAGUUAUCCACCUGGGGAGUACGAUCGCAAGGUUGAAACUCAAAGGAAUUGACGGGGGCCCGCACAAGCGGAGGAGCAUGUGGUUUAAUUCGAUGAUACGCGAGGAACCUUACCCAGACUCACAUGGGAGACGACCGAUUUAGAAAUAGAUCUUUCGCAAGACGUCUUUCAAGGUGCUGCAUGGUUGUCGUCAGCUCGUGCCGUGAGGUGUCAGGUUAAGUCCUAUAACGAGCGCAACCCCUACGUCCAGUUGCCAGCGGGUCAAGCCGGGGACUCUGGACGGACUGCCGGCGCAAGCCGCGAGGAAGGUGGGGAUGACGUCAAAUCAGCACGGCCCUUACGUCUGGGGCGACACACGUGCUACAAUGGCCGGUACAGAGGGCAGCUACUCCGCGAGGAGAUGCGAAUCUCGAAAGCCGGUCUCAGUUCGGAUCGGAGUCUGCAACUCGACUCCGUGAAGUUGGAUUCGCUAGUAAUCGCGCAUCAGCCAUGGCGCGGUGAAUACGUUCCCGGGCCUUGCACACACCGCCCGUCA